rnacentral:tRNA from 1 species
GGCCCCGUGGUCAAGCGGUUAAGACAUCGCCCUUUCACGGCGGUAACAGGGGUUCGAAUCCCCUCGGGGUCACCA